AUACGGAGGGUGCAAGCGUUAUUCGGAAUCACUGGGCGUAAAGGAGGCGUAGGCGGGUUGGCAAGUCAGAUGUGAAAUCCUACAGCUUAACUGUAGAACUGCAUUUGAAACUGCUAACCUAGAGUAUGGGAGGGGGAGAUGGAAUUAGUGGUGUAGGGGUAAAAUCCGUAGAUAUCACUAGGAAUACCGAAAGCGAAGGCGAUCUCCUGGAACAUAACUGACGCUAAGGCGUGAAAGCGUGGGGAGCAAACAGGAUUAGAUACCCUAGUAGUCC
rnacentral:rRNA from 1 species